UAUAUUGGACAAUGUGCGAAAGUCUGAUCCAGCCAUGCCGCGUGUGUGGAGAAGGCCUUCGGCUUGUAAAGCAGUUGAAGCUGGGGGGUAGGGCGGUAAGUUAAUACCUUGCUGUUGUGACUUUACCGACAGAAUACGCACCGUCUAUCUUCGUGCGCUGAGCCGCGGUAAUACGAAGGGUGCACGCGUUAAUCGGAAUUACUGGGCGUAAAGCGGGAGUAGGUGGUUUGUUAAGUUGGAAGUGAAAGGCCCGGGCUCAACCUGGGAACUGCUUUCAAAUCUGGCAGGCUAGAGUAUGGCAGAGGGUGGUGGAAUUUCCUGUGUAGCGGUGAAAUGCGUAGAUAUAGGAAGGAACACCAGUGGCCAAGGCGACCACCUGGGCUAAUACUGACACUGAGGUGCGAAAGCGUGGGGAACAAACA
rnacentral:rRNA from 1 species